ACGGCGAAUCCGAGGAUGGGAAAGCCGCCGCUGGGAUGUUCGAGGAUACCCCGUCUGGUUUCAAACUAUCCCCCAUUGUAGCUCAGUUAAAACACCUUGACAAAAUAAACACAAAACAAAGACCGACUCUUUUCAAUGCAUUCCCAAAAAAAUCAAAAGAAAUUAACUACGAGGGAGAAAAGGUAGCCAUUAAAGGUAAGUUACGUUGCAAAGACGGUGAACGCCUUCACGAGGCCAGAAGCGGAAGUGAUAGAGACCUCUGAACCAGAAGAGGAAAAUUUUGAGUGGAGAGAAAUCACAUGUGAUAAGACACAGUGAUUGGGUGGAAGAUAUUUAAUUUAUAAAGAAAUGAAGCAAAUGAAAGGUGUGAAGGAGAGAAUUUGCGCGAAAUGGCACUCAGAUUUUUUUCCCUUCUGUUUUUGUUUCUCCGGAAAAACAAACAAAAUACUGAAAAAUAUCGGGAAAAGCAGAGAAAGAGAUGGGAGUCAGGGCCAGUGAGUGAGCGAGUGAUGGGUAUUGAGUAUUCACGCAAGGGACUGUGCAAGUUUUAAAUGAAUGAAUGAAUGCGCUUUUUGCUCAGAGAAGAAGAUGGUAAGGAGACACGUGGUAUUAAACGCCUCCUGCCUUAACGUGGAUGGCCUGUAUAGGGGAAGGCCCUAAAAUAACUCGUUCAAACCAGCAAAAAGAAUUGGAGAAUAUUUGGAGAUGGGGAAGAAAAAUAAUGGUCUUUGGGAUUUGCACAAACUGAGAGCAUGAAAUUCUGCAGUUGAAACGGAGACAUAAUGUCGAAUUUCAGGGAUAACCUGACACUGAGUUUCAGGGAUACACGUGUAAAUUCGUCUAUUACAUGCUUUUCACCUGCUCUACUUUAUCCAUCUCUUCAUUUGUAAGUAAGUCCAAACCCAAGA
rnacentral:lncRNA from 1 species